UACGGGGGGGGGCAAGCGUUGUUCGGAAUUACUGGGCGUAAAGGGCUCGUAGGCGGCCAACUAAGUCAGACGUGAAAUCCCUCGGACUUAACCGGGGAACUGCGUCUGAUACUGGAUGGCUUGAGUUUGGGAGAGGGAUGCGGAAUUCCAGGUGUAGCGGUGAAAAUGCGUAGAUAUCUGGAGGAACACCGGUGGCGAAGGCGGCAUCCUGGACCAACACUGACGCUGAGUGAGCGAAAGCCAGGGGAGCAAACGGG
rnacentral:rRNA from 1 species